AUGUGUUUGGUUCUGGUUAUUGACUGUAGUAGUAGUAGCAGUAGUAGUAGUAGUAGUAGUAGUAGUAGUAGUAGUAAUAAUAAUAAUAAUAAUAAUAAUAAUAAUAAUAAUAAUAAUAAUAAUACUGCUCUGGCAGAAUAUGUAAAGCAAAGUGAAGAACCUGCUUUGAUUGAAGUCAAAAAUCAGAAACUCCUCAAAGCGCAGCAGACAAAAAACCAGUACAAGAAAGCCGCACUACAAACUAGAGCUGACAGCUGGCACAACAAAAAAAAGCAUGGAAAGUUCCUUGACAAAAUUGAAGGAAAAGCUGAUAAGGAGAAGACCUGGCUAUGGCUCACGAAUGGGACCCUGAAGAAGGAGACAGAAGGCCUGAUCCUUGCAGCCCAGGAGCAAGCCAUCAGAACAAAUGCAAUUAAGGCCAAGAUUGAAAAAUCAGCUGAUGACCCAAAAUGCAGACUGUGCAAGGAAACUGACAAAACCAUUGAUCAUAUCCUCAGCUGCUGUAAGAAAAUUGCACAGACAGACUACAAACAGAGGCACAACUACGUGGCCCAAAUGAUUCACUGGAACUUAUGCCUCAAGUACCACCUCCCAGCAGCAAAGAACUGGUGGGAUCACAAACCUGCAAAAGUAUUGGAAAAUGAGCACGCAAAGAUACUGUGGGACUUCCGAAUCCAGACUGACAAAGUUCUGGAACACAACACACCAGACAUCACAGUUGUGGAAAAGAAAAAGGUUUGGAUCAUUAAUGUUGCCAUUCCAGGUGACAGUCGCAUUGACGAAAAACAACAGGAAAAACUAAGCCGCUAUCAGGACCUCAAGACUGAACUUCAAAGACUCUGGCAGAAACCAGUGCAGGUGAUGGGCACACUGGGUGCCGUGCCAAAAGAUCUCAGCCAGCAUUUGGAAACCAUAGACAUUGACAAAAUUACGAUCUGCCAACUGCAAAAGGCCACCCUGCUGGGAUCUGCACGCAUUAUCCGAAAAUACAUCACACAGUCCUAG
rnacentral:lncRNA from 1 species